UACGUAGGGUGCGAGCGUUAAUCGGAAUACUGGGCGUAAAGCGUGCGCAGGCGGUGAUGUAAGACAGUUGUGAAAUCCCCGGGCCUCAACCUGGGAACUGCAUUUGUGACUGCAUCGCUGGAGUGCGGCAGAGGGGGAUGGAAUUCCGCGUGUAGCAGUGAAAUGCGUAGAUAUGCGGAGGAACACCGAUGGCGAAGGCAAUCCCCUGGGCCUGCACUGACGCUCAUGCACGAAGCGUGGGAGC
rnacentral:rRNA from 1 species